GAUAACUGUAGAUCACUAGGGGGUCAAGGGUCGGUUGGCUAAUGAUGCGGACGGUUUCCGUGGUGGCAUCGUAGAGUCCGCCCCAAUACAUGGCCUUAGCCACGAGCAAUAAAGCUCCAGCCCCCAAAAAGAGCAGAUGAUGGCCGAGAAUAAUCCCUAACUGCUUGGGAUCAUCCCA
rnacentral:antisense_RNA from 1 species